rnacentral:sRNA from 1 species
GUUUGCACUUGUCGGGGAAGGGUGAGAACCUUCGAUUAAGGUUCGACUCGAGCGAAAGCGAGAGAACGUUGCCAACGGCAACGGCCCGUAGGGUGAGGAG